GGAAUUGAAUUAUCUAAUAUUACUUUUAGCAAGUCAAGCAAAUGGAGAAAAUCUCUCAUCGGCUUGGUAUAUUCUUAGUAAGUGGUUGUAGUGGCAGAGCUGUCUGAGGUUUACUAUCACUUAAAUUGCUUCUAACAAUAUCCACCUUCUUUAGACUACAUCUUACAGGUUUUAUAUUUCCAACCUAAACUCUACUGAAUCCACAAUGACUGAACUGUAUUCUGUUCAAUUAAACUACUCCCUGUUGAACCCAACUAAACUACUGUACAUGGGAUAAAUUUUAUGUUUGUCAUUUAUUUUGUUAAUCAGAUUCAAUCAUAUUUCCUUAAUCAGAUGUCCAGUUGGAAAUCUGCAUCUUGCAAGACUCUGGUGGUAUUGGCAGCAGUGGAGGAAGUGGUCUUGGAGGAAGAUGAUAUAAGAAUUUGUGAAUUUGGUUGUUCUUCUGUGGGUGGGAUAGGGUUUGACAGCAGGGUUUAGUUUGAGGAUGUGGUUGCUGUUUUUACCAGGCUGAACAACCAUAUAGAGGUUCUACCAUUAUCUGAUGUGUGUGUAUUUGUGGUUUAGAGUUUAGACAAGUGAUUGCUGCUCAAAUAUUUUAAGCAGCCAAAUCACAACUCACUACUCAGCAGAUGAACCCUAUGUCAAGAAUUUAGUAUUAUUAUUAUUGACCUAAAAUGAUCGGUUUUAAAUGCUUCUCUAAACUUUACAUUCUUUUACUUACCUUGCUGAAUCUCUAAAGACUGGCUUUGUUUAAUCUUAUAAAAACAAUUGUUUAUAAUUUUGUCUUAUUUGAUGACUAAUAAAUAGGCUUGAUUACAGA